rnacentral:rRNA from 1 species
CCUACGGGGGGCUGCAGUGGGGAAUAUUGGACAAUGGGGGGAACCCUGAUCCAGCCAUGCCGCGUGUGUGAAGAAGGCCCUCGGGUUGUAAAGCACUUUCAGUGAGGAAGCACGCCUGGUGGUUAAUACCCAUCAGGAAAGACAUCACUCACAGAAGAAGCACCGGCUAACUCCGUGCCAGCAGCCGCGGUAAUACGGAGGGUGCGAGCGUUAAUCGGAAUUACUGGGCGUAAAGCGCGCGUAGGUGGCUUGAUAAGCCGGUUGUGAAAGCCCCGGGCUCAACCUGGGAACGGCAUCCGGAACUGUCAAGCUCGAGUGCAGGAGAGGAAGGUAGAAUUCCCGGUGUAGCGGUGAAAUGCGUAGAGAUCGGGAGGAAUACCAGUGGCGAAGGCGGCCUUCUGGACUGACACUGACACUGAGGUGCGAAAGCGUGGGUAGCAAACAGGAUUAGAUACCCCGGUAGUC